UACGUAGGGGGCUAGCGUUGUCCGGAAUCAUUGGGCGUAAAGCGCGCGUAGGCGGACCUGCAAGUCGGGGGUGAAAGCCCGAGGCUCAACCUCGGAACUGCCUUCGAUACUGCGGGUCUCGAGUCCGGGAGAGGUGAGUGGAAUUCCUAGUGUAGAGGUGAAAUUCGUAGAUAUUAGGAAGAACACCAGUGGCGAAGGCGGCUCACUGGCCCGGUACUGACGCUGAGGUGCGAAAGCGUGGGGAGCAAACAGG
rnacentral:rRNA from 1 species